rnacentral:tRNA from 2 species
GGGCGCAUAACUCAGCGGUAGAGUGCGACCUUCACACGGUUGAAGUCGGGGGUUCAAGUCCCUCUGCGCCCACCA